rnacentral:rRNA from 1 species
GGUGAACGCUGGCGGUAGGCCUAACACAUGCAAGUCGAACGGCAGCACAGUAAGAGCCUGCUCUUACGGGUGGCGGGUGGCGGGCGGGUGGGGAAUACAACGGACUCUACAUUUUCGUGGGGGAUAACGUAGGGAAACUUACGCUCAUACCGCAUACGACCUACCGUUGAAACCAUGUGAUCUUCGGACCUUGCGCGCUUGAAUGAGCAGAUGCCGGAUUAGCUAGUUGGCGGGGUAUAGGCCCACCAAGACGAGGAGCCGUAGCUGGUCUGUGAGGAUGAUCAGCAACACUGGAACUGAGAAACGGUCCGAACUCCUACGGGGGGCACCAGAGGGGAAUAUUGGACAUUGGGCGCAAGCCGGAUCCAGCCAGACCGCGUGGGUGAGGAAGGCCUUCGAGUGGUAAAGUCUGUUUGUUGAGAAAGACAAGUAGCAGAGUAAAACCUCGCUGUUCUGACGGUACCCAAAGAAUAAGCACCGGCUAACUUCGUG